rnacentral:rRNA from 1 species
UACGAAGGGUGCAAGCGUUACUCGGAAUUACUGGGCGUAAAGCGUGCGUAGGUGGUGAGUUAAGUCUGUCGUGAAAGCCCCGGGCUCAACCUGGGAACUGGCGAUGGAUACUGGCUCGCUAGAGUGCGGUAGAGGAGAGUGGGAAAUUCCCGGUGUAGCAGUGAAAUGCGUAGAGAUCGGGAGGAACAUCAGUUGCGAAGGCGGCUCUCUGGACCAGCACUGACACUGAGGCACGAAAAGCGUGGGGGAGCAAAACAGG